CAAAGAAAAUGUGUCCCCAAAUGUGUGUCCUUUCUGGUUCUCUCAGUGUUGCAUGAACUAACUUGGGAAGAAAAGGUGAAGAGACAGAUUUUACUACAGUGCACAUUUUGGAAAAAACAAGGAGUGGUGUCUUCCAUCAGACCUUCCCUUCAAAAAGGGAACUGGAAAUAGUAAGUCAUUUGUGUUACAAUGCAUGGACUACAAAUACAGUGGGAGCAGGGGAGAAAUGGAUGCUCUCAUUUGUCACAUUCAAGAUAGUCUU